AGCAGUCGCCGCGGUAAUACGUAGGUGGCAAGCGUUGUCCGGAAUUAUUGGGCGUAAAGCGCGCGCAGGCGGAUCAGUCAGUCUGUCUUAAAAGUUCGGGGCUUAACCCCGUGAUGGGAUGGAAACUGCUGAUCUAGAGUAUCGGAGAGGAAAGUGGAAUUCCUAGUGUAGCGGUGAAAUGCGUAGAUAUUAGGAAGAACACCAGUGGCGAAGGCGACUUUCUGGACGAAAACUGACGCUGAGGCGCGAAAGCCAGGGGAGCGAACGGGAUUAGAUACCCGAGUAGUCCCUGUCUCUAUACAC
rnacentral:rRNA from 1 species